rnacentral:rRNA from 1 species
GCUUAUACUCGACCGUCAGCGGCACGUGCGAUCGUGCCUUUCACGAGGCGCGGUCACGAAGCCCUGACGAGUAGGAGGGUCGCGGCGGUGAGCGCAGAAGGGCUGGCCGCGAGGCCGUCUGGAGCCGCCGUCGGUGCAGAUCUUGGUGGUAGUAGCAAAUACUCCAGCGAGGCCCUGGAGGACUGACGUGGAGAAGGGUUUCGUGUGAACAGCCGUUGCACACGAGUCAGUCGAUCCUAAGCCCUAGGCGAAAGCCGAUGUCGAUGCGGUGUAGUUUUAUCAUUAGUUAUAAAAAGAUCUAACUAGCACACACCCAUUGGGCGAAAGGGAAUCCGGUUCCUAUUCCGGAACCUGGCAGCGGAACCGUCAAUAAGUCGGGC